GUAACCUGCCCAAGAGACUGGGAUAACACCUGGAAACAGAUGCUAAUACCGGAUAACAACACUAGACGCAUGUCUAGAGUUUGAAAGAUGGUUCUGCUAUCACUCUUGGAUGGACCUGCGGUGCAUUAGCUAGUUGGUAAGGUAACGGCUUACCAAGGCAAUGAUGCAUAGCCGAGUUGAGAGACUGAUCGGCCACAUUGGGACUGAGACACGGCCCAAACUCCUACGGGAGGCAGCAGUAGGGAAUCUUCCACAAUGGACGAAAGUCUGAUGGAGCAACGCCGCGUGAGUGAAGAAGGGUUUCGGCUCGUAAAGCUCUGUUGGUAGUGAAGAAAGAUAGAGGUAGUAACUGGCCUUUAUUUGACGGUAAUUACUUAGAAAGUCACGGCUAACUACGUGCCAGCAGCCGCGGUAAUACGUAGGUGGCAAGCGUUGUCCGGAUUUAUUGGGCGUAAAGCGAGUGCAGGCGGUUCAAUAAGUCUGAUGUGAAAGCCUUCGGCUCAACCGGAGAAUUGCAUCAGAAACUGUUGAACUUGAGUGCAGAAGAGGAGAGUGGAACUCCAUGUGUAGCGGUGGAAUGCGUAGAUAUAUGGAAGAACACCAGUGGCGAAGGCGGCUCUCUGGUCUGCAACUGACGCUGAGGCUCGAAAGCAUGGGUAGCGAACAGGAUUAG
rnacentral:rRNA from 1 species